CAUCUGGCUCCUGGUGACAUUGUCAACACAGGAAGGAAUCUUAGUUGCGGAGCAGCUGUCUGUACACACUGAGACAAGGUGGGGACUCUAGAGACAAGGUGGGGCCAGGCUCUGAAAUGCCUACAUCAUGGAGCUGCUUGCCCAGAGCUCUUUUUCACUGAUCCCUAGGGUGAGAAGACUGAUCUCUUGUUUCUGUUUAUGGCCUGUUCCUGCCUCCCGGGAGAGGAGGGUAAUAUCUGCCCUUCCCAUCUAUCUGUGGAGUCAUUUUCCUCAUUUGUAUUCCAGUCCCAUGACUGACCAUUUGUCAAAGUAAUACAGAAAUUCCUGCAUUACCACAAGGAUGUUUAUGAAGGCUGCUUGUCAGACUGAACCACGCUAAUGGAAUACAAGGUUGAUGCUGAAUAUUCCACGAAAGCUGCUACCUCUGCUUACUCAGACCUUUCCAACUUUUUGUCAUAUACGUUGCUUUUGCUUGGAGAAAGAGAUAGGAACAGCACUCUCACCUGAGCCCGACCAACUUGCAGUCACGGUGCUUUCAUCAGAAGCACAGUUGUGCUGAAGUCAGGGGUUGGUGAGCCCCACAGAGAACAGAGCUGGCGUGGAGACCUGCACUAACCUGAGGUGAGUGCUUGAAAUUUGGCCCUCACGCGGGAGGAGGUGUGACUGACCAGAUGACAUACUGGUAUUGGGCAGGAUGAAUCUGAACAAGGAAGGCAGUGACUUCAGUUGGCUGCUCCCCACCCAGAGCAAUUGGUGGGAUCUGCUUGGGCUGAGUCAUGCUGGUACUCAAUAGCCAGGGAUGAAAUUGCCCCCAAAGUUGUCCCAAACCCAUUCUGUCUGCGCAGCACAUACUAAUGUGGUGAAGGCCUCUGCUGGUUGACUGGCUCAGAGGAGUGGGGCCAGCCUACACCACCCCUCCAUGCACCUCAGUGACCAGUAGCAAAAUGGAGAGGGCAUAAAUCCCUAGCCAGUACACUUCAGAAGAACCAUAACCAAUAUGGAAAGGGGCUGGGACCUCCACCAUACACCUGUAUAGAAGAAACAAGAAACAUGACAAGAGAGAGAAAUAAGAAAAAUCCUCCAGCCAAACCAGGGAAUAUGGGUCCAAGAGAGGUAAAUAUAGAAGAAAUCAAGGGCAGCAAAUAUGCAACAUUGGACACAGCAUUAGCUGACAUAAAGAAAUAUCUUCCUGAUAAUAUAGAUGAACCCAAAACUGAAAUAUUAAUGCAAGUAAAGCAAGAUAUAAGAAGAUUAAUAAAAGAAAAGCUAAGCACCUCUUAAGAAGACACAGAUGGAAGAAUGGAGGAACACAAAAAAAGGAGAGAAACCUUCGAUGAAGAAUAUAAGAAAUAUCUAGAAUACAUGAAACAAAUUCAAAGAGAUUACCAGGAAACUAAAAACUCCAUUUAAAAGUGGCAGAAUCGCCUGAAAGAAAUUAGAGAUAGAUUAAUAAAACUUGAAGGUAGGUUUGCAAUGUGUGAUUGUGAAGGGAAGUAGUUCUUAAAAAUAACAAGGAAACAGGCAGUAACAAUACAAAGGCCAGAAGAUGACAACAGGAUCUACAAUUUAAGAAUAAAAAAUGUGGUCUAAGCUUUGGGAGGAGCAAAGAUGGAAAAGGAAAUGAUAUUCUGAUAUAUGAGGCAUACAGAACUCCAGCUUCCUACAACCAAAACAGAGCUACACCCUGGCAUAUAAUAAGCAAGAUCCCAGAAAUUCAAUAUAAGAACCAGAAUAUUAAAAGCUGUUAGAGACAAGAAACAGAUAACCUAUAAAGGAAGGUCAUCAGAAUAAGGCAGACUUCUCCACACAAACCAUUAAGUCAAGAAGAGUCUAGAGUAAAAUAUUCCAAGCCCUGAAAGAAAAUAACCUCCAUCCCAGAUUGAUAUACCCUGCUAUACUGUCUCUAGAAAUUAAUGGAGAAACAAGAUGCUUCCAAGACAAAGAGGAACUUGGGAAAUUCACGACCACCAAUCCAACUCUAGAGAGAAUACUGCAGGGCAUUCUAGAGAGUGAGAAAAAUAUUAGAAUUCCAGGAACAGUGGCAGAGAGGCCUCAAUGGAUGGAACAGAAAACAGAAUGAAGAAGAUAAGCAGACAACUUAUGGCAAAAAAAGAGCAUAACAGAAAUGAGGCAGAGAAGAUUUUAUUCAAAAUUGAUAUGAUUGAUAGUAUCAAGUCUGAGAGUAUAGGCAACUACACUGAAGACAACAAGACUAUGAUACACAUUCUGGUUUGAUAAUUGCCAGUUUUUGACGUUCUAUACUAUAUACAAAGUUGUGUUUUUACUAAUACUGUUAUGUACUGAUAUAUUCAAUAAUACUAUGUCUGAUGAUAUAGCCAAUUGUAUUGGAGAUAACAAGAGACAACACAGGAACCAUGGUAGAACUCUUUGUACAACAGUCUUAUAUGUUUAUUUCAUUUCAUGUGUUUAUAGGAAUAUGUUUUGUUUUGCCUUGCUUUGUUUUGUUUCUCCCUCUAAUAUAGAAAGCAUAGAAACACAUGUUAAGACUCAUGCAUGUGUCGAAUCUAUAAACAGUUUAUGAGAACUGAUCUUAUGACAACAUGCUGAAAUGAACAGAUACUUUGAAGAAAAAGAGACACUAAAAUACCCAGUGCUGAUCCUGGCGUGUCAUAAUGUGAAACCCAGCGAUAGUAUUAUUCUUUGUUCAGAGUGAUAUUAGCCUACUUGGAUUUAUUCAAUCUCAACAUAAUUGAAGAGAUGGAUGAAUGUAUGUUUAAGCGUAUAGGAUUGAUAACCAUAUUUUUAAGUUUUUGUUGGAUAGUUGAAUAGAACUGGUUGCAAUCUCACUGUUUGAAUCCCUACCUUAUAUGCUUUACUUUAGUAUCUUGAAUAACUAUUUGUAAGAAAAUAAUCUAUAAUCAUCAACUAGUGAUUUCUUACUGUUUAUUUUUUCUUUGAAAUUAUGUAUUAUUUGGGGCUGAGGAUUUAGCUCAGUGGCAUAAGCACCUGUCUUGCAAGCAGGCAGUUGUGAGUUCAAUUGCAGGUACCGAUAAAAAAAAAAAAAAAGAAAUUAUGUAUUAUUUCUACCUGUUUUCUGUUUUGUUUAUUCUUUCUUUAAAUUAAAUUUUAAAAACACACACACAAAAAGAAUAAAAAAUGUGAGUGAAGAAGCAGGGGUAAACACAAAGGAAAUACAAAGGCUCUUCACAGAAAUAAUUAAGGAAAACUUCCCAACCACAGGAAAAGGAAAUGAUAUUCAGAUGAGGCAUACAGAACUCCAGCCACCUACAACCAAAACAGAGCUAUACCCAGACAUAUAAUAAUCAAGAUCUCAGAAAUUCAUCAUAAGAACAGAGAAUAAAAGCCAUCAGAGAAAAGAAACAUCACCUGUGAAGGAAAACCCAUCAAAAUCAUGGCAGACUUCUCAGCACAAAUCAUCAAAUCAAGAAGAGCUUGGAGUGAAGUAUUCCAAGGCCUGAAAGAAAAUAACCUCCAACCCAGAUUGAUAUACCCUGCUAUACUGUCUCUAGAAAUUAAUGGAGAAACAAGAUGCUUCCAUGACAAAGAGGAACUGGGGGAGUUCAUGACCACCAAUUCAACCCUACAAAAAUUGCUGAAGGACAUUCUAGAGAAGGAGGAAUAAAAACACCAGGAUUUCAGGAACAGGGACAAAGAGACCUCAAUGAACAGGGCAGACAGUGGAAUGAAAAAGAAAAGUAGACAACCAGUGGCAGAAAAAUAGCAUAGAAGAAAUGAAGCAGAGAAGGUUAGCUAUAAUCUCUAACAUAGAUAGCCUCAAUACACUAACAUAAAAAAAAAAAAAACACAGGCAGAGUCGAUCAGGAGAUAGGAUCCAUCGAGAUGCUCUGUAUAGGAAAUACAAUUAACCUGAAUGAGAGUUUAUGGACCGAAAGUUAAAGAUGAGAAAACAAUGCUGUAUGUGACAGGGAACAGAAGAGAAAUAGUGGCAGCUCAUCCAGGACCUACAGAUAGGUUGGAAAGACAUGCUGCUUUUGUGCAGUAUAGAACUACUCAGCUAUAAGGAAGGAAAACCUUGAGGCUUUAGUAGGUAAAGGAAUACAACUUAAGAUCAAGCCCAGGGGUAAAAAGAUUCAGAACCACUUAGGUAAAAACAGAUUGUACCCCUAACCUAAAAACUAAAGGAGUUACAGUGGGACCCAAAAUGUACAGUGCAUCCUGUGAAAGUCAAAGAGGAGGAAUUGUCUUAAAAAGGAAGGCAGAGGACAUUAUUAAUAGUGUAUCAGGAUAUAAAAUCCACAUAGUUCUCGUCUUUCUAUUUAGUUUGAUUAUAUUCUGUUCUAAUCUGUCUACUUGUACUAGAUUUGAGAAGACAGACAGCUAUUCCAAAAAUAGCAGAAUAUAAUACAGUAACCAUCCUUGAUUUCCUAUUAACUUAAUCUGAAACCCUGUAUAACUUACACUGUCUUAUUAUGACUGAUUUUAUUUGAAUCUGGUUUGUUAGAUCACUGUUUUGUAUUGAUUGAUUUUUUUCGAAUCUGUUAUGAUUGAUAGUAUCAAGUCAGAGUACAUGCAAAUACUAUGAAGAUAACAAGAUUCACUAGGAUACUCACUCUGGUUGGACUGUUACCUUCUUUUGCAGUCUUAUAAUGUCUCCAAUGUGUUUUUUUAUUGAUAUUGGUAUGUAGUGCUAUGUUCAGUUUUAUUAUACCUGAUAAUAUAGACAAUUCUAUUGAAGAUAACAGGAGACAUCAUAGUAACCAUUGUAGAUCACCUUGUAUUGUGGUUUUAUGUGAGUUUUUCAUUUUGUGUUUUUCUAGGAAUUUGUUUUGUUUUGUCUUGUUUUGUUUUAUUUUUCCCUCUAAAACAGAAAGGAAGAAAAAGAGAACACUAAGGUACCCAGUGCUGAUUCCAUAGCAUCAUGAUGUGAAAUCCAGCAAUACUAUUCUUUGUUCAGAGUGACUUCUAUCACAAAUAUAUAUGCAUCAACUAUCAGUGUUUUGUUUCGUGUAAUUUCAAUGUACAUGAAGGUAUGGAUAGCUAUUUUGAAGAGAACGAGAGACACUGUGACAGCCAUUGUUGACUUCCUUAUUGUCUGGUCUUGAGGACCUAAAAUGCCUUCAUCAUCCUGUUUGGAUCAGUUUUAUACUAUGUUGUUUUGUAUGAAUUCACUGUAUGUGAAGUUUUGGACAAGUAUUUGGAGGAAAACAAGAGACAAUAUAAUAGUGAAGGUCUCCGAUUGUCUUGCUUUGAAAUCUGUGUCUCUUACGUUGUUUUCUUAGGUUCUGUUCUGUUUAAUUUUACCCUCCUUAAAAUAAUUUUUUUAAAAAAUUUCAUUUUUGGGUUGCAAUUGUGAAGGUUGUAAUUUCACUAAUUUCUCUGUCAAUGAGUUUAUUGUUUGUAUACACGAAUGCUAUUGAUUUUUCAGGGCUGACUUUGUAUCCAGCCACACUACUGAAUUUGUUACUAAAUCUACCAGUCUUUUUUUUUUUUUUGAAAGUAUACAACAGAACAAGUCAGAAUAAAGCCAAAUAAGAUCGUACAGUGAAAUUGGUACAGAACUUCACAGCAGGUUACCGGGAUGAGAGUAAUAAGUAUCACAGUAUAUUUUGUUAUCUUUAUAAUAGUUGUUCUUUCAAUCCCGUAUAUCAAAAUGAGAUGAAAUAUAGAACACUAUAGCACUUAUCAAAACAGAAUAUUGAAUACAGCAGUUCCAUUAAUCAGAAAAGAGCAAAACAGUAAUAAAAAUAUUUGCCUUCAAAGAAAUGGUAGAAGGAAGUCCCCCUUAUUUGCUAUGGUCAACCUCCAAGGAGAUGCUCAGAUAUCUGGUUCCCAUUUGCUAAUAGGUGGGGGGAGGGGAGGAGAAGGAGGAUAGGGGAAGUGGGAUAUUUGACUCUAGGCUAUGUAGCAGUAGGUUCACUAUUGCUAAGCAGGGAGGCAGGAUGGUCAUUUGUUUUCACAGUGUCCUCAGUUCCAACAUGGCGUGGAUCUCAGGAGACACUGCUAGUUCUCCCCCUGGAAGGGCUGCAGUGUAAUCUACCAGUCUUUUGGUGGAGUUUUUGAGGUCUUGUAUGUAAAGUAUCAUGUCAUCUGCAAAUAAAGAUAACAUAACUUCUUCCUUUCCUAUCCUUAUUCUUUUUAAUCUGUUGUCUAAUUGCUCGGGAUAAUGUUUCCAGAACUAUAUUGAAUAGAAGUGAUGAUAACCAACAUCCUUGUUCUUUCUUUAUUUUAUUUUAUUUUUUUUGGUAAGUUUGACUAAUAGUUUAUCAAUUUAACUUGAAGCACCAAAGAACCAACUUUUCAACUCAUUGAUUCUUUAUAUUUUCUUCUUAGUCUCAAUUGCAUUAAUUUUUCCUUUUAUCUUUAUAAUUUCCUCCCUUAUACAAGCUAUGGGUUUGAUUUGUUCUUCUUUUUCUGGAAAUUUGAGGUUCAACUUUAAAUUGCUUAUUUUAGCUUCUGUUUUCCUGAUAAGAGAAUUCACCACUGUAAAUUUCCCUUUUAGGAUUGCUUUCCUUGCAUCCCAUAAGUUCUGGUAUUUGUAUCUUCAUUUUUGUUUAAUUAUAGAUACUGUUUUAUUUCUUCUUUAAUUUCCUCUGUGACCCAUUGAUUAUUCAGGAAGGUGUUAUUUAAUGUCCAUAUGUUUCUAGAAUUUUCCUUGUUAUUGAUUUUCAUUUUCAUUUCACUAUGGUCAAAUAAUAUGCAUGGGAUAUACAUGGGAUAAUUUUCGUUCCUCUGCAUUUGCUUAAGCAUGUUGUAUGGGCUAGUUAGUAUGUGGUCUGUCUUGAAGACUGUCCCACAUGCAGCUGGCAAGAAUGUGUAUUCUGAUGUUAUGGUAUCGAAUACUCUGUAGACAUCUACUAAGUCCAUUUGUUCACAAGUCUGGUUAGGUCUGAUAUUUCUAUAUUGAUUUUUUUUCUACUUGAUCUAUGUGUGAAAGUGGAGUAUUGAGUACCCCCAUUAUAUUGUGUUAAUGCUUGUUUGAGUCUUCAUGCCCAUUAAUAUUUGUUUUAUAUAGUUGAGAACACUGAUACUUGGUGCAUAUAUAUUUGUGAUUAUUAUUUCUUCAUGACAUUUUCCCUUAAGAAGUAUGUAGUGACCUUCUUUGUCUCCUUUGAUAAGUCUUGGUUUGAAUUUCACAUUGUCUAUAAAUAAAGUGGCUACCUUGCUUUUCUGGUUUCCUGUUGCAUGAAAGUAUUAUUUUCUAUCCUUUGACUUCAGUUAAUGAAUUUCUUUUUGAACUAAAUGUGUUUCUUAUAUGCAGUAUAUUAUUAGAUCUUGUCUCUUGAAUUAUUCUACCAGUGUUUCUUUUGAUUGGUGAACCAUUUACACUGAUGGUUUUUACAUUGAGGGUUAUAAAUGAUAUGUAUUGGUUUGUUCUUCUCAUAUUAUUUUCCUGUUGUUGGCUUCCUGUCUUUCCUGUCUGUCUAAUUGCUCUCUCUGCCUGGUGGCUUCUUUCUACUGGUGUUCUUGUAUUUGUGAACUUUUUUUUUUUAAUCUCUUUCUGAGGGGCUGGGGAUUUAGCUCAGCAGCAUAAGCGCCUGCCUUGCAAGCAGGCAGUUGUGAGUUCGAUUCCUGGUACCGAUAAAAAGGAAAAAGACAAAAAAAAAAAAUCUCUUUCUGUAAUGUGCUUCACAGAAUUUUGGAGAACCUGCUUAGUGGUUAUGAAUUUUUUCAGUUGUUCUUUGUCCUGGAUUUAUUUUAUUUUUUCAUUGAUUUUGAAAAAUAGUUUCUUAGGAUAUGUCAAUCUGGGUGGCAGAUUGUUUUCUUUUAUUACUUGAAGUAUCUCACUCCAAGCUCUUUUCAUUUGAAGCUUUAUGUUGAGAAGUCUGUUGUAAUUCUAAUGGGCUUUCCUUUAUAGAUGAUUUAUUUCUUUUCACCAUUUUUAAUUUCUGUUCUUCUGAUGAAUUUUUGAAAUCUUGAUCGUUGCAUGUCUUGGUGAAGAUAUAUGUUGUUCUUGGCUAUUUGGAGUUCCAUAUGCUUCACUUAUUUAUAUGUCAAAUUCUUUAUGUUUGAGAAGUUUUCUGCCACUAAUAAUGUGAAGAGGUUUUUUUAUGGCUUUUGCACUAUUUCUGGCUUUCACAUUGACUCCAGUCAAUCUUUGUAGUUUGUCUUUGUUUCACUAAUGGUCCGUUGCUGUUUUUAAAAUACUUUUCUUUUUAAGGUUGCUAACUGCAAUCCUGUCUUCUAGAUCGAACUGUUUCCUUGCCUUUGUUCAAUCCAUUGCAUAUACUUUCUUUCUUUCUUUUUUUUAUUUUUUGUCUUUUUCGUUUUUACCGGUACCGGGGAUUGAACUCACGACUGCCUGCUUGUAAGGCAGGCACUUGUGCCGCUGAGCUAAAUCCCCAGCUCCUAUUGCAUAUACUUUCAAUGGAAUUUUUCAUCUCCUAAAUUUCUGUUUUAUGUGUUUUGUGGAUUCCAAUUUUUUUCCUAUGUUGGGUGUUAAUGCUUUCUAUUAUUUUCCUAAUUUCCUAUUUAAAAUUGGUGUCUCUCUGAUAACUUUUGUUUUGUUCAACAUUUCUUUUUUUAGCUGGGAUAUUAUUUUUUGUAUGGUGUUAGCUACUUAUUUUUUCACUUCUGCUGCUAUCAUUUCCAAAAGUUCUAGUGGGUGGCUUCUGAUUUCCUGUAUCUCAUUGUGUCCUGGACUUGUCCUGGCUGGGGUAGAGUCUAAGGUUGCAUUUUGCUUCUGUGUCUUUUCACUUUUUAUUUUGUAUUUUUCGUUUUACUUUGUUUUCUCUUUAAUGCUUGUAUGGUAGAUAUCUUCAUCACUAGUAUUCAGUGUCCCCUUGGAAAUGUCUAUUCCUCAGAGAUAUCUUCUAAAUGUAGGUGGUUCUUGGUCUUUGUGUCUAUCCCAUGGUCUACUGUUACAGUUGAUAUAUUGUGUCAACUUGAGAAGUUUAGAAGUAUAACUAACAGAUUCAGCAUCCUUACUUUGUAAGGAUCCAGUAUCCUUACUUUGUAAAUAUCCUCUUCCUGUGCAAAAGAAGGGGACAUAGAUUUUGUGCUACACCUGCUUGGGGGUGGACUGUAGGGUUAUUGCUGCUAGUGAAUCUAUUUGAAGUGCUGUCAGGCUAUUUGCCAUUUGUUUUAAGUUUUCAGCAAGAUCAAAAGAGAGUUGGUUGAAGUAGAUGAGUGAUAUUAGUAUGUGACCCUUAUUAACUGUACUGAUCCCUGUUGUCAUCUCCAAUUUUAUCAGUAAGGAAAUAAAUCAGAUUACCCCUUUUUGUUUUUGUAGUGUCAUCACCUUGAUCAGAACCAAGACUGGCCAGGAGCCAUUAAGAAGGUCUACUGAAGUGGAAGGGGGAAUAGAUACUGUAAAGUACAUGCAGCUGUCUAGUUGGCACACAGGCAAGAAUAUGUUGAGUGCCACAGAAAAAGAAGAUGGCCUUGGUCUUUAUGUAGUCUUUUUGAGAGACUAAGUGAGAACAUGUGUUGAAAGGACAGUGACCCCGACAGGUACCAGGUAGCAUAAGAGCUUAUACAAGUAAGGUCCUUACUCGGAGCAGUUGGGCAAAGGCUAUUCCUGUGAGCACAUAAAGGGAAAGAGCCACUAUUUUGAUAAGGUAUUUUUCUUACUUACAGAGGAGAGAAUUAGCUUUUUUCCUUCCAGAUAUAACUAGUGAUCUUGUCCUAUAUGUGUGAUGCUGGAUGAAAGUUUUUGUUUGCCCUAGUGUUUGGGGGUUGAAAUUUGGACACUGUUUUAUGUUUUAUAGUGGGACUACCAUAUUCAUGUGAUUGAAUGUAGAAUUUUUGUAGGUGUUACUGUGGCUUUAUUCCCUUAUUAAACCAUAAUAAUGACAAUAUUACAGAUAUAUUGGAGACUUUUAGUGGGGGCCAGUAUAGUAUGUACUUGGAGCGCCCUUUGUAUAAUUGGUCUAAAUUAGUAUUAAUUUCUUUUUGAGAAAAGGUCUCUCCAUGUAGUCCAGGCUGGAUUUGAACUCAAUGUGUAGCCCAGGCUGGCCUUCAAGUCUCAACAGUCCUACCUCAGCCUCCCCAUUGUUGGGAUUACAGGCAUUCACUACCAUGUCCAGCGUAUUAAUUAUUGUGUACUAUAAUUACACAGAAUAAUUUUUUGGUGGAUGUUUAAGAUCAAGUUAACGUAAAACUUGUGUUAAUCAAAAUUAACCUUCUGCUAGUAGUAGUGUCAUUUUAGACUCCUCAGGGUUACUUUACAAAACGUGUACAGAGCCUUUUAGCUCCUCUGUCAGUGUCAUUUUUCAGCACGAGUCAUGGUCUUGCUUGACUGUACAGCUUUUCUUAGAAUCACAGAUGUUUUCCUCUUGGGUGACCUCCUUUUAGCACAGUGUACUUUGGUUGACUCUGUUCCCUGGUGUUGAACAAUUUCCUGUUCAGGAGAUUUGGUGACUCUCCAGAGUUGCAGAAUCUUGCAGAGAAGACUCUUCAGGCUCUGUAAUACUAAAUACUAAAUUUUAGUAUGUAGUAUUAAAUUUUUAUUUUAGUGUUGUUGACCUUGGAGAGCCAGUGCUGUAGUAUUGGUUAAUUGUGUAGCCCAGUUAUCAUUUUUAGUGUUGGUCGCUAACUAAGCCUUAGUUACCAGUACUGAAGUAGGAUCACUAGGUUUAACUAUUAAAAUCAUAUCUAGGUGUAGCUAAGAUAAUUAUACUACUAAUUUCUGCUAAUUCAUUGAAAAGGAUGGUUUAUGUUUAUUUAAUAAACUUUGCAUGCCUGUAUCUUUUAAUUUGACAACUGCUUUGAAGAUAACAAUACAUAAUAUAUUAUCCACGGUUAAUUUCCUAUUAUCUUGUUUAUCUUAAACUCUGAAAAAAAUACAUACACUGUGACUAGAAAAGUUAAUUUUUAACCAUAAUUGUCCUAAACGACAAAUUUUUAUGGGACACCAGUAAAAAACAGUCAUAUAGUUUUUUUUUUUAAUAUGCCAAAGAACAGAUAAAAUAAUGCAAAUGUACUAAGUCAAGGUACACUUUUAGAUACAUUGCGCUGGAUUAUAAUACCAAUUGUACUGGAUUACAGUUGUCUUCUUUCCUUUUACUCCAAUUACCUGUCAUAUAUAAGAAAAACCAUAUAAGAAAAACAAUGCAGUAUUUAAGUUUGUGUGUCAGAGUUACUUAACAUUAUAGUCUCAAGAUGCAUCCGUUUUCCUAUAAAUUAUUCAAGUUUAUCCUGUUUUAUGACAGAGUAGUACUCCAUUGUGCAUAAAGACCACAUUCUACGUUUUUUAAAAAAAUUUUAUUUUGAAAGUGGUAAAAUACAACAGAACAAGACAGAAUAAAGCGAACUAAAAUAGUACAGUGAAAUUGGUACAGAACUUCAUAGCAGGUUACCCAGAUAACAGUAAUAGGUAUCACAGUAUAUUUCAUUAUCUUUAGAUAGUUGUUCUUUCAAUCACGUAUAUCAAAAUGAGAUGAAAUACAGAACAUUAUAGAACGUAUCAAAACAAUAUUGAAUAGAGCAGCACCACUAAUCAGAAUAGAACAAAACAGUAAUAAAAAUAUUUGCCUUCAAAGAGAUAGUAGAAGGAAGUCCCCCUUAUUUGCUUGUGGUCAACCUCCCAGGAUAGCUCAGAUUUCUGGUUCCCAUUUGCAAAUGGGGGGGGGGGCAGGAGAAGAAGGGUAGGGGAAUUGGGAUGUUUGGCUCUAGGCCGUGCAUUAGUAGGUUCACUAUUGCUUAGCAGGGAGGCAGGCUGGUUGCUUGGCUUCCCAGUGUCCUAAGUUCCAACAUGGUGUGGAUCUCAGGAGCUGCUGCUGGUUCUCCCCCUGGAAGGGCCGCUGUCAGUCAUAUAGUUUUAUAGGGAAGAUUUGAAAUCAGGACAGGACAUAAAAUUUUAGCAUAACAGUUAUGUUGGCAUUGUUAGGUUCAAACCAUUGGGAUUUUUAUCACUAAUAGUAUAGUUAAAUUUUUAUUUUAGUAUUGAAUACUUUGUCACAGAAAGGAGCCAAAAAUUGUUGCAUGUGAUAUUUAUUUACCGUCUCUCAUUAUAAAGCCAAGUUUGAGGCCUUGUUUUUAACCCUUUGACUUAUAUUUGGAGAAAAAUCAAUUUUUUAAAAUCUCUUAAAUUGGCCAUGAGUUUAUAAAAUAAAUCUUACAGGUGACAUCUUGGGAAUAAAUAUUGGGCUAUUUGCACACAUGAUGUAUAUUACAUAUCUUAUGUACACUAUAAGAUCUCUCUCUUGUGUACUUUUGGGGAGAAAUAGAAAGAGAAAGAAUAAAAAGAAAAGAAAACAUGAGACCCUGUUUAGAUCUAAGGUAGGCUUUGAAAGCUGUCUGCCUUCUCUAGGGGUACAUGAUUCCACUGUAUGUGUAGCCCUGCCAAACUGAGGUUAGUCCACAGCCUGUCUCACUUUUUUUCCUGACUUGCCUAAGCAUCUUUGUCAGUCACACAGAAAUCUGUUUUUUUAUAUCCGUAGUAAGUGCCCUUGUAGCAGGCCUGUAGAUCAGGGAGGCCGAAAAAGGUGUUGUACAUAACAGUUGAACCUCAAUUAAAAAAUUUAUCCUACAGAUUUUUAUAUCUAGGGACUUGUGACCUAUACAAGGUUUUAAAAAGUCUGGAGAUAGCACUUAGCAACUAUAAAUCACAUACUGCUAUAACACAAUGCUGUAACAAUUAUAAAAGGUUUUAUCACCAGAAACAACUUUAGUCAGGAACUCACCAGUAUAUAAAUUGAUUUUUAGCGCUGCGUCUUUGAAGGCCUAUGUACUUGGAAAACAUAAAUACAUUUAAUACAUCAUAAGGUUAGUAAUAAUUAUUGUCAUGGCUAUAUGUAGAAUUUUUUGUAUGUAUUUACUGGGUUUUCACAUUUUAGGCAAAUUUUAGAUUUUUUCAGAUAUGUUUAUAGGGUGCAGUUGUACUGAUAAGAAUUAAGGAAUGUCUUUAGAGGUCUUAUAAGUUUAGCAAACUGCAUUUAUUACUCAGCAUACAAGUGUAUCUCAUUUAUGUAAUAACAAAAUAUUUGUUUAAUCAAAGCAAACAGAUGUAUAUCAAGUUUUAAAUGGCAGGAAAAACCUUAAAGCAAUGACAAAUUUUGAUUAUUUUAUAUGUUUAAGCACAAUUUAUAUUGUAUAAGACAACAUGUUAGUUACUAUGUAUGUAUUAGACUUCCAUAGUUUUUACUUCUUAAACUUAACUUUAAAAAAGACAUAGCAUAUAUUGCUUUUAGAUAUAUAAUUAAUCAUAUUUAUUGUCAAAAAUGCUUUAUAAGCCAACAUUUGAUAUAACUUUUAAAACUUAAUUUUAGUAACCAAAAGUUUAGCAAUAGAAAACACAAUAUAGACCUUUGUUCUUAAAUCUGGAUUUGUAAGUUUAAUCAGGAGCAUCUUAAUAAAAAAGCCUUAAAGUUUUAUACAUAGAGAAUAUCAUCCUUUGAUUAUAACCAAUUUAAAUAUAUGAUAAUACAUUUAAUAGCACUUAUUGGAGCAUGACUUACCUGUUUCUUCAUUGCUGGGACAAAAUACUCAACACCCAAAGCUAAAGGAAGAAACAUUUCAGAGACUGCAGAGAUUUCAGUCCAUAACUGACUGCCUUCACAGUGGGGGGUGGCAUGACAGAGUGACAUACCAGAGGAGAAACGCCUUGGUAGGCAGGCAGGAGCCAGCAACUGGUGAGCUUCCUUUCCCUUUAAUUUCACUCAAGCUACAUGCCCAUUGUUUAUUCCACCCACAUCCAGGGUGGGCUUUCCCAUUAUCCAUACCUACAUCAUUCUAAAUCCAUGGACUAAUUUAGUUAUCACACACGCAAUCCAUUUUUACAUGUGCUAGAUUCAGCCACCUAUGAAAAACCAUUGAGAUUUAUGCCAUAACUGGAUGUGUCACUGUAAGACUUUGGGAAAAUAACCCAAAAAAUCUUGUCAGUGGACAAAACUGAACAAGCUGAUUUAGGUAGGUGCUCUCUUAGCUACAAGGGAGAGUCUUGCUCAGCAGUUUAUUCAACACCAACGUGACCUUACUUAUUUAUCUUAAAAAUUAUUUUACAUUAUUUAUGAGAAACAAAUUAUAAUACCACUUAAGUCACAUAUGUUUAUAUAUUUAUAUAAUAUAUAUUGCAUAUAUUUAUAUUAUAUAGUUAUAUAAAAAGACAACAUGGCUGAGUAGAGGAGGAGCCUCUUUCAAAACCACUUAGAAAUUCAACUAAAAUACAGAAGGUUAUGAAGGGCUGAAGUAUAGCUCAACAGUAUAGCACCUGCCUGGUACAAGGCUCUGAGUUCUAUUCUAGUACCCCCCCAAAAAAGUGUGGGCAUAAAAAAUGGUGCAAAUAUUCUUAAAUUAUAGGUAAUUGGAAGAAAGGGGAGGGACAUACAUCCUGAAACUAAAAUCCAUCUAACAUAAGAGACUAAUAUAUCAAGCAAAACAGACUAAGGACAGUCAGUCAGCCCACCCAGCUGCCAGUGGGUUAUAAGAUCGAGAUAACUGCCUGCCAUACUUGGAAUCUUAAAAGAAGAAAAGAGUAGGAUAUGCUAAAAUAGUGUGUCUAAAUCAGGCUAUGCAGGAUACACUUAGAUAUAAACUCCCCUGCCUCUUCUGCCUUCCUCCAAACAGAAGAUGCUACAGUCUAGCAGUAAAUUCUGCCAACACAAACUGCUCCUUCCCUGACAAUCAGGCAGUUUUCCCUUUUUCUUUUUCUCUUUCUUUCUUCCUUUCUUUCUUUCUUUCUUUCUUUCUUUCUUUCAUUCUUUCUUUCUCUCUCUGUCUCUCUCUUUCUUUCUUUCUUUCUUUCUUUCUUUCUUUCUUUCUUUCUUUCUUUCUUUCUUUCUUUCUUUCUUUCUUUCUUUCUUUCUUUCUUUCUUCUUCCUCUCUUUUGUUCACCAGAGCACUCAAUGGAACUGUCAGGAACAAGAUUAAAGACCACAGGGGUGUGUAGCAAAUGGAACAGCUAAUACCUACCUUGGGACCUGUGUUUUUAAAGAGAUGCAGGGAAUUAAACAGCUUUGUAUCACAGGACUGUGCAGACCCAGGCAUCAUGCUGCUGGGGUCAGGAGCAGCAGGCACCCCUCCCUUACCUCAUUGAAUUCACGGAAGUUACAGACUACAGCAGAGGUGGAUAGUGGUAACAGCCAAUCUUGUAAAGCAACUAAUAGGAAGUUAUCACUCCACCGUGGAAGGGGAAUAAGAAUUGGAACAGAGCAGCCUUGGAAUGCGACAGCAGGAGCAGAGGACCAGACCAUAUCAUCCUGCAACAAACAAGGCUGAGCAAGGACCAGGAGGAGCCAAUGGCAUACUGGGCUGAGAACAGCCCUGUCUCUGUCUGAAAACCGCACAGCAACUGAGAGAAAGACUCUUCUAAGAGAAACAGUGGGAGGCCACUAAGGGAUAUACAAAAAGUACUGGCUGAAGACUUUGGCCACAGUCUCUCCCAUCUGGAGGCCAAAAUUAGCCUCAAAUUCAGUACAGAAACUACUGUAGGCUUGGCAGUGUUAUCCAAUAGUUUUGGACUCUCAAUGGACACCAGAGGAAUUUUAGUUUUUUAUUUUAUUUUUUCUUUUUUUUUUCUGCUGGUUUGUUUUCCUUUCCUUUUCCUUUCUUCUUUUAAUCUUUAUUUUUGUUCUAAUCUGUUCAUAUUUUUUCUCCUUUCCCUCAAUGUAUCUCUCUAGACUCAAUCGUAUUUUCGUACAAGUGGAUGGUUAAUUUUUCUGGUCAACCUCAAUAAUCCCUUGCUUACUCUUUCAUUCUUUAUCUUAUUCCUUCUUCUGCAAUUUCCCAAACCUUGUAUGAUCAUCCUUUGUCUUUCAGCCUGGAUUCUAUUUUAUUUCUUUUCAGUUAUUUCUGUUAAAUACAUUACCCUUCUAGAUUUCCCCGCCACAGGGUAAAGCUACCCCACUAAGAAGAAACGCUUUGCAUAUAAGCUUCCAAUUUAUGAUCAGUUCUGUUGUAUAACUGUGUAUUUUGCUUCUAUGGUUAAAGGAACAAAAUAAAUAGUUACCACAGUUUGUCAGUUUCUAAACUGUGCUUGACAUCAUGGUUAGUGCUACUUAUGCUACUUUACCUAGGAAGUCAUAUGUGUUUUAAUCAGUUGUUCUCACUUCUAUAACAGUAGUAGGAAGUGCUGGGGUAAUAACCUCACCAUACCCCCAAAAAACUAGGAACUGAGCCAAACAGAUACCAAUAUCUCACUUUAAUUAAUUGGAAAAGUAGGAUCUUAAGACAGAUACAAAUCAAGCACCUCCUACACUGAAGAUACCCUGAAGAAUAAAACUCCCUAGAGAAGCCCUGAUACUAGUGAUAAAGCUACCUACUACAAAAACUUACAAGGAUCAACAGAGAAACCAAAAUAAAAACUUUUGAAAUAGAAAAUGACAAAAAGCAAAAUGCAGCCUCCAAUCCACCCAGAAGAAGUUGAACAGACAGUUAUAUAGAGGAAAAUGGAGGAUACAGAUUUGAAAUUUCUGCAAGGGUAGCAACCAGAGUAAAGAAACAUAUCCAGGAGACUAUAGAAAACAUCAGAUCAGAAAUAAUUUCUCAGGCAAAAAAAAAAAAAAAAGAAAUAUCAACAUUCAUAAAAGAAUUGCUUAGCAAAUCUAGAGAAGAGAUGGAUAAAAAAAUAGAUGAUAGGAAAAGGGUGAAAACUGUGAAUGAUCAAUAUAGGAAAGAAACAGAAUACAUGAAACAGAUUCAAACAGGUAUCCAAGAAAUUAAAAACUCUGUUGAAAGAUGGCUAAACUGCUUGAACAAAACAGGAUAAACUUUCAGAUCUUGAAGGCAGGAUCGUGGCUAGUGGUUAUGAAAGGAAAGAUACCUUAAACAUAAAAGAUCAGGAAAUAGAAAUUCAAUAGCAGCAAAAUAUGGCAAAGAUUGAUUAGUGUCAAUGAUAAAGCAAGAGUCAACACAAAUAACAUUUAAAAAGCUAGUUGCACAAGUAAUAGCAGAGACUUUCCCAAGCAUGGAAAAAUAACCUGACAUACAGAUAAGAGACAGAUGGAACUCCAUUUAGCCAUAAACAAAAUAAAUCUACACCCAGACAUAUAAUAGAAAGCCCAUAUUUCUGCACAAAAACAAUAUUUAAAACUAGUAGAGAAAAGAAACUGAUUAUCUAUAAAGGCAAGUCUAUCAGAAUAAUGGCAGACUUCUUAACAGAAACCCUCAAGUAAAAAAGAGCUUGGAGUGAAGUAUUUCAAAUUGAAAGAAAACAGCUUCCAGCCAGAUUGAUAUACCCUGCAAAAUUAUCUUUCAAAAUUAAUGGAGAAAUAAGAUACUUCUAUGACAAAGAACACCUGAAGAAAUUCAUGACCAACAACACAGCACUACAGUGGGUACUGGGAAAUAUUAUAGACCAAGAUGAAAAUGACCACAAUUCCAAGAACUACUACAGGGGAAAAAAAACCAAAACUACCAAGCAGGGCAAGUAGUUAAACAGAGGGGAAAAGCAGGGAACCAACAACAGGAAAAUAACAUGACAAAAAUAAGCCAAUACAUGUCAAUAAUAGCUAUCAUUGUCAAAGACCUCAGUUCACCAAUCAAAACAGAUCAAUAACCAAGAUUCAAGAGUAGGUUGUGUACAAGAAACACAUUUAACUAAAAGAGAAAUUUUUAGACUAAAAAUCAAAGGUGGAAAACAAUACUCUGCAACAAGAACCCCCCCCCCCCGCAAAAAAAAGCAAGAAUAGCUAGUCUGUGAACUUCAAGCAAAGAAUGAUUAAAAGACAUAAAGAAGGACACUUCUUGUCAGGAGGAAAACUUUAAGAGGAGAGAUAACUAUAUAUAUAUAUAUGUACCAAUUAUAUAAGACAAAUAUUAAUAGACAUAAAAAGUCAAAUGAGCAAUAACACAAUUAUAUUGGGGAACCUUAAUACCCCACUGUCACAAAUAGAUCAACCAGACAGAAAAUCAACAGAGAAAUCAGAACUGAACCAAACCUGUGAACAAAUAGACUUAGUAGAUAUUUUCAGAGUUUUUACCCAACAACCUCAGCAUACAUUAUUCUCAGCUACACAUGAAAUGUUCUCUGAAAUAGACCAUAUACUAAUAGAACAUGCUUAAGUAAAUGCAGAAGAAUUGAAAUGAUCCUAUGUAUAUUAUAUGACCAUAGUGCAAAGAAAUUGGAAAUUCAUGACAAAAGAAACUUCAAAAGCUCCAUGGACAGCCUACGGGCCACAGAUGAAAUAAAAGAAAUUAAAUAAUGUCUGGAACCUGUGGCACACAGUGAAAGCAGUGCUGAGGGAAAUUUGUAGCAGUAAAUUCUCAUUGGAGGCAAACAGAACAAGCAUAAACAACCUAUGUCAUACUUUAGCUUUCUAGCAAAUCAAGAGCAAGUAAAGCCCAAGGAUUAUAGAAGGGAGGAAAUUAAUGUCGAUCACAGCAGAAAUUAACACAAUUGAUGCUAACAAAAUGAUACAAAAAAUCAAUGAUCAAGGUUGAUUCUUUGAAAUAAUAAAAUCAAUAAAAAUUUAGCCAACUUUAUCAUAAAAAGAAAAGAAAAUACACAAAUUAUUGCAAGGAGAAAUAAAAAGUUGAAAUCAUUACAGAUCCUGUGGAAAUUCAGAAGAUCAAUACCUACUUCAAAAAUCUUUACUUUCAUAGGAUGGAAAACAGAAGAAAUGGACAAAUUCUUAGAUAUGUAUGAAUUAUCAAAGUUUAAUCAAGAAGAUAUAAAAAUUCUGAGUAACCCAGUAUCAAUCAAUGAAAUUGAAAAUGUAACUAAAAACUUACCAACAAAGAAAAGCUCAGGUCCUGAUGGAUUCACUGCUGAAUUCUACAAGAAAUUUAGAGAAAAUUUAGCAUCAAUACACUUUAAACUCUUACUGCAAUUGAAAGGGAGACAGUGCUUCUCAAACUGUUUAAUAAAAUGGAAAGUGAAGUGAACUCCUAACUCAUUCUUGGAGGCAAGUAUUACCCUGCUACCAAAACCAGAGAAAGACCAACAAAAAAAAAGAGUACAGUCUCCUAAUGAAUACACAGGCAAACAUUCUCAAUCAGACACUAGUAAACAGAAGUGCAAAGGCUCCUCACUUGCUACACCAGCUCCCACAGCCUCAGUAUCCUCAGCUAUAAGAUGGGACAACAGUGGUCUCCACUACUGGAGGUCUGAGAGGCUGGAUUUAACCCUCAGUUUAUUGGUGAUGAGGCAGACGCUCACACAGGGCACCGUGCAGGCCCUCUCACAAGGUGAGAAUGUGGCAAAGGGAUGCAGCCCCACCCACAAAGGGCAGUGUUCCUGGUCUUGCAUUCCACUGGAGAAGUGGGGAUCUGGAAAAGGGACCCUGGCAGCACUCCUUUUGCUGGCUCUGUGUCCUGCCACCUCUGCCAGCCAUAUGCUAUGCUUGGCUCCUGCCUCCCUGCUUUCCCUAAAGACACCCAGAUUCACCCCAACCCAGUGGUUUUACCCUUACCACAUUUAUUUCUUCCCCAGGAGCAAUCCUGUGUGGCCAUAAUCAUAGGGAUUCAUUAUAGGAAUAAAGGAAUUAUUCAACAUAUGCAAACCAAUAAAUGUAAUACAUCAUAUCAAUGAAGCCAAAGUCAGAAAUCACAUGAUCAUUUCAAGAGAUGCAGAAAACACUUUUGACAGUCGAACAUUCAUUCAUGUUAAAAAAAAUAAAAAACCUACAGAAAGAUGGUUUUAUGUCAACCUGCUAAGGGCCUUCUAUGACAGACUAAUAGCCAAUAUUAAAUGGACAAAAACUAAAGCUUUCACUAUAAAUCAGGACCAUGAUGAGGGUGCCCGUUAUCACCACUCCUAUUCAAUAUAGGCUAGGAACACUAGCCAGAGCAAUUUAGAAAAGAAAGAGGCAAAGAAAUAAGAAUAUAUAAAGAAGUUAAAUUAUCAUUAUUCACAGAUGACAUGAUACUUUUCAUUGAAGAUCCAAAAAAAUCCACCAAAAGACUUCUAGGUUUAAUAACCAAAUUUACUAGUGUAGCUGGAUGUAAAGUCAACAUUCAAAAGUCAGUAUCAUUACUGCACACAAACAACAACCUUACUACAAGAGAAGUAGGGAAAUCACACCCUUUACAAUAACAUCCAAAAAUGAAAUACUUAGGAAUCUAUCUAACAAAGGAAGUAAAAGAUCUCUAUAUUAAAAAGCUCUGUUUUUAUUAUAGUACUCUGUAAAAGUAGAUAGAAGAGGAUAUCAGAAAAUGGAAAGAUAUCCCUUGCUCAUGGAUAGGAAGGACAAACAUAGUGAAAAUGGCCAUACUCUAGAAACUGUUAUACAAAUUUAAUGCAAUUCUGAUCAAAAUGUCAUUAUCAUUCCUUGCAGAUCUAGAGAAAACAUUCCUAAAAUUUAUUUGUAUGCAUAAGAUCUUUAGAAUAGCAAAAGCAAUCCUGGGCAACCAAGGAAUGGGAGGAGACAUCACAAUCCCUGAUUUGAAGUUAUACUACAAAGCUACCAUGAUACAAUCAGCAUGGUACUGGCAAAAAAGCAGACCUGAGAAUUAGUGGAAUACAUUAGAAGGUGCAGACACAAGUAUAAAUACUCUCAGCCACCUUAACUUUGACAAAGGGGCCAAAUAUGUUCACUAGAAGAAAGGUAGCUCUUUAAUAAAUGGUGCUGGAAAAACUGGCACUUUAUAGGCUAGUGACUAAAACUAGAUCGAUUUAUGUUAUCAUGCAUUAAACUAAAGCCAAAAUAGAUCAAAGAUCUAAACAUUAAAAUAGGUACAGUAAAUCUACUGGAAGAGAAAGUAGGUAGAAAUCCUGAAGGCAUAGAUGUAAGUAGGAAAAAACCCAGACCUCAUGGGAAAUACUUUCUAGAAGCAACAACUGGGAUCUCAGCUAAUUAAAAAGCUUUUGCAUGGCAAAAGAAAUCACAAACCCACCGAAAACCACAGAGUGGUAAAACAUUUUAGCUAAUUGUCCUUCAGACAGAGAACUUUUACCUAGAAUAUAUAAAGAAGUGAAAAAAAUCAGACCCCCAAUUUAAAGACCCAGUCCAAAAAUGGGCAACUGAGAUCCAUACAUACCUCUCAGAUGAAGAAAUACAAAUGGCAAAUAAAUCUAUGGAAAAAUGUUCAACAUCACUGAUCAUUUGGGAAAUGCAAAUUAAAAUAUGGACACUAUCGUCACUUUUAAAAAUCAGAAUUUCUCUUUCUUGAAAUAAGGAGGGCUUGCUAUAGGGUGGGCAAGGGAAAUAUUAAGAAAUAUUAUUCAUACAUUUGCUUUGCAUUUAAUUGGAUCAUGAAAAUCUACAUUUCUUAGCUGAAAUGUUAGAAGUGGCCAUGGUGGUAAUAAUUUUACUUACGUAGAAAAUUUCAGCUGUUCUUGUGGAAGCUGUUUUCCUGCAUUAGAAACAGUAGCUUACUUUUGCUAGUAGCAGAUGCAGGCGGCCCACAGGGUAAUAACAGUAAGUCUCUUGCUGACUUUUAGUGCCUUUUCUUUGGUUAUUAGAGAGGUUGGGAGACAACGAUGCCACUUUGUAUCUUUUGUUACUUUCUCUUUCUUUGUCUCUCUAUGCUCACAACAGCAAGAGAGUGGAUUCCAUCUCAGUGGGGCAGGUCAGCCUUACUUGCUUUCCCUGUCAGUGUGUCACCUAGCCCAGUCCCUAUGGUGUAUUAGUGGGUUUGAGUUGAACAUAUUUUGAGGGCCUCCAGGAGCAACAGAAAACCCUCACAAGAAUAUUUUUUAGUCCAGCCUCCAGAAAAAAACAGUAGCAGCUUUUCUAGUAUUCUAAAGCAGUCAAGCAAGUUUCAGAACUAACUCUCUGCCCCUUGAGCACAGCCAGCCUUCAGUGAACUGGAAUAAUAAAAUGGCCUGGGGACAUUCUUCUGCAUGAGAGUUAAAGAGGGGGCGAAAAGACUAGGGACAUCUGGGACCAGCGUGACCUGAAAUGCAGGCUGGGAUCCUAACCUGUUCCAGGCCCAGAUCUAUCAAGAUAUAUCUGAAAAGGAGUAGAGAAGGGAUGCUGUCAUACUAGUAGAGAGAAAGUUCAAACCUGCAGGUCAACUCUUAAUGGAGGCUUAGGAGUGGGGUCUGACAGUCAUCUCAGGUCACUCUGGGAAAGAUGAUGCCUCAAAAACACCAAGUGAGUUUACCUCUUACAUAACAGAGGAGGGCAGGUGGGAACAAUAGAUACGUGGAGGUUUCUUUGCUGGAAACCCAGUUGGGCUGUUGAGACCCACCCAGCUUCCACCAGGUGGCCCUGGAGUACCAACAAGGGUGGGGCCCUGGCCAGGGUCUCACAGCUGCCAUUCCAGCUGCAACCCGAAAUCUGCCUCUGGAAAAGAAUCCAGGUCCGUCUGGCUGUCACUGGCUUCAGUGGGAGAUUAACCAGGAGGCACUGAGGAACCUGUCCCCUGCCUCAAGAGUGGCAGCAAUUCAAAUGGCUGGCAGAGUGCCCACAUCUGUUAGGUCUCCAUAAAGGAACAGAGAAAGAGUGGGUAUGUUACCUGUCUGUUCUGCCACGCCUGGCACUCCAGAGAAGACAUGCCCUGUUUUGGGCACCAAAGCUGUAACCAGCUCUCUCUCCCUCUGGGUUUUUGUUUGAGGCAGCAAAAAUUGAAGCAAUAAGACAACAGGACACAAGAACAAACCCUGAGGAACAACAGGGUAGGGUCUAUUAGAAAGAACCCAGGAAAGCCCUCACUAGGGGAGGGAGGCAAGAGGAUGAAAAGGAAGCGUCUAAAUUUAGGAGCUUGUAUACAGAUCUAAGAAGGCAGAAAAAAGGGGGCAGAAGACAUAUAAAAAUGGAGGUUUGCUACUGCUUGUCAGUCUUUUUGUCCUUGGCAUAGUUUUGUUUUGUUUUGUUUUGUUUUGUUUUGUUUGUUUUUGCAGCUCCAGUUUCACUUGAGCUUAUCUCACCUUGUCCUCGGCUUACUGAUGCCCUUGAACUGUGUCCUUUUAUCCUCUGGUCUCACUAGGAGCUUCAGAAAAGAUGGUAUUGAUGAUUUGCUUUAUGCAGAAAAUAAUGCUCCACUUUUUCUCCCUUUAAAGAUUUUUUUGUUACCUGUAUUCUUACCUUUGCUUAGAAAAAAACACACACGUACUCAAAAUUUUUCAGAAGAAAUUGUUUUCCAAGGAUUCUGAGCCACUGAGAUGUGAAGUGACUUACCCCAAAAUGGUCUUUAGGGCUCUAAUAGUAAUUGAGAUCAUUCAACAGAACUUCAAAUAGGUUGUUUAUUUUUGUUUUGGCAAGUAAAUUUAUUUGAAUAAAAUCACCAUGUUCACAGAAGAUGUAAUGCUAGUAUUUAAAUUUAUACAAUAGUUACUGAACUUACAGUGACUUGAUAUUCAGCAAGUUUAAGUCCAUUUUACAGGAUCCUUUGUGGAUUAGAGACUAGUACCCCAAUGGUCCUAUGGAAUUAGGGUGUGAUCUGAUAAAUUUAACUUUUAAUAAUUUUCCAGAUGUUGCUAAUGCUGAAGGACUAUGAGCAACUCUUCAGAAUGUGGUAGAAAUAGCAAAAAUAAGUAUAUGAAAAAAUGUUCCGCAUCACUGGUCAUUUGAUAGAUGCAAAUUAAAACAACACUGAGAUUCCAUCUCACUCCAGAAAGAAUUGGCUAUUCUUAGAGUUUGUUUCUGGGUGUUCCCCCAAAGCCUCAUGCAAUCAUAGGGGCAGGCUUGUACAGUUUGUGACUGAUUUAUGGUCCAGUGCUGGGAUUAUGGAUGUGAAUGCUACACCUAAGUGGGUGUGGCCUCCAUACAGAUAAGGAACAGAAGGAGUCUUCUCUCAUGCUCCUCUCUUUUUGUCUCUUGUUGCUUUUCUGUUUGCCAUUGCUGUGCUGGUUGCCCCUCUGCCUUACCACCCUGCCUUGGAGCCAGCUGAUUAUGGCAGGAAGCCUCCACAAACUGUGAGCUAAAUAAACUUUCCCUUCCUUAAUUUUGGGUGUCAGAUAUUUUGUCCUCAAGGAAUUAAAUAACUAAGACAGCUAUCAUCAAGAAAUCAAACAAUAACAUGCUGGCAGGGCUGUGGAGGAAAAGAAACCCUUUUCCAUUGUUGGGCGGACUGUAGACUGGUGCAACCACUGUAGAAAUAAAUGUGGAAAAUCCUCAAAAAACCCCCAAAAAACUAGGAUUAGAUAUCCCAUUUCACCCAGCUAUUCUCCUUUUUGCUAUCUUCCCAAAAGAAUUAAAAGCAUUGUACUAUAGAGAUACAUGCAUAGUCAUGUUUAUAGCAGCACAGUUUGCAAUAGCUAAAUCUUGAAAACAGCCCAUAUGGCCAACAACUGAUGAAUGGAUAAAGAAGAUGUGGGUCUUUUAUACAAUGGAGUAUUGUGCAGCUAUAAAGAAGGAUAAUCUUGAGACAUUUCUAGAUAAAUGGAUACACCCUGAGAACAUACUCUAAUGUGAAAUAAAUCAGGCACAUAUGUGUAAAUACUGUAUAAUUUCUCUGGUGUGAGAAACUGAAAGUGUAAAUAAGGGCCAAAAUAUUAAUAGAUAUUUGAAAUAGGAAGAAAAUGUUGAAAUGGAAAGGACUGGGGGGGGGGGAGAAAAAAUGAAAAUAGAGCUUUUGUAAAUAGGGAAAGGAAGAAGAGUUGAUAGGAGGCCAGGGGAACAGGAAAAAAAUUAAGAUAUAUCAUGUGCAGGUAUAAAUUCCUUAUGGUGAAUGUGAUCAUUAGGUACACAUAAAGUGUAACAAUAAACUUAAGUAAAAAAUUAAAAGCAUGGGAUUAAACAAAACAACUCAUUAGGUUAAAAUUAUUAUUAAAGACUGUGGGAUAAAUAACCUCAUUGUCAUAUAGGAGGAAUAACAGAGUUGGGGUAUUUGUAAAAUGCAAAGUUAUAAGUGCAUAAAAAGUAAUAAUAAAUACUUCAUAUCCUCAGUGGUCAAGAUCUAUUAUUUUGAAGUUUAAAAUUUCUUUCUUUCAUUGGUGAUCAGAAUUCAAACUAUUUUGAAUAGAUACUUUACAAGCAAUCAAGAUGUCAGCGAGGCAGUACUCCUUCUGGAGACCAAGGAGCAAUUCCUUUCUUUGCCAUUUUGAGCUUUCCUUAAAAAAGGCCUUAAAGGCCACCUGCUUUCCUUAGCUCAUGGCUCCUUUUUCCGGCAUUAAGGCUAGCAGCAAAGAACCUUCAAAUCCUUCUCUGAUUGGCCUCCCACCUCCUGCUUUGAGGACACUAUGAUUAAAUCUAGCUCACCUAGAUAAUCCAGGAUAAACUCUCCCUCUCAAGAUCCUUAAUUUAAUCCUAUCUGCAAAAUUCCUUUUGCUAUGCAAAGUAAAACAUUCACCACCUCACAUCCUCUAUAAGGAUGUGGAUGUUUUAGAGGGCUUUCCUUCCCACAGAUGCCAUUUAUUUUGUUUUAUUCAAAAGUUACUUAAGAUUUACAAAAGGUAGAUGAAAGCAAAGAGAACACAGAAUAAAGAGAGUUAGGUAAUAGGUGGCAAAAUAUAGAAGAAAUAAAUUCUGUAUGCUGAAACAUAGAGGGAUGCCUGUAGUUCAGAAUAACCUAUCGUGUAUUUUAUGAAGAUGAAAAGAGAAUCUCAAAGGCUCCAAACAUGAAGACAUGAUAAGAGGGAAAGUUAAUUACCCUGAUUUGAUCCAGGCACAAUUACGCAUGCAUGUGUUGAAAUGUCACACUGUAUCCAUUAAUAUGCACACUUAAUACAUGUUAGUAAAAAAAAUCCCAAAAAGGAUAGCAAAACAUUGAGAAGGAAUUUCCUUUGGUCUACAACAGCAAGAUAAAGCCUUCUAGGGUGCACAAAGGAUGUAGUUGCCCUCUCAUUUUAUUCAUUAUUUAUGUACCUUAAAUGUUCCUCCACAGGAGUGAAAUGCUUCUCCAUUUAUACAUUUUAUGGCCUAGGAAAACUAAUCAUCUCUCUGUGCCUCAAUCUAUCACUUCUGCAAUUGUGAUUAAAAGUAACACAUAACCAUAAAGUUCCUGUGAGUAUUAAAUGGGUGUCAUGAUAGCUUCUGGCACACUAACUGGUACAGAGUUUUUAAUAUAUGUGGGCACUAAGGAGCGAGAGCACUGCAGGCACAAUAUGGAGAUUUCAGUGACAACAAAGUAUUUUCAAGGGCUUUCUAGAGCUAAGUCUUGAAAUUUGUGUUUCAUGUAAUCUUCUGAAAGUUGGAGAGAAAAGAGGCUGGUGUGGAGAAGACGUGAUCAGGGGAGGAAGGGGGUCAUGUGAGGACUGUCUUCAAACACUGUGGUUGGAUGAUUGAUAAAACCAAAUUAGACUCAUUUUUUUCUAUCUAGAAAAAUAUCCAAGAUGAAGUGGAAAUAACAAAAUCAACAUUCAUCUCAGUAUUUGAAAGAAGUUGUGAAUAAUAAAGAUGCCAAAGAGGAAAAAAAACCCAUUUUUUGAUGAUUAUAUAAACUUUUCUAUGGGUUAGUGCCCACCCAAAGCCUUUUUAAUGGAGCCAUCCGCCUUACAUUCAUUAUCCCCUUCAUCUUUCUCAACAGAAGCCCAAAUGUUUUCAGGAGUCAUUGAAUCAUAAACUUUAAGGGAAGCUGAGCUUUUCUCCAGGCUCAAGGGUAUAAAUCAGAAUUUAUUUGAGCCACCCAGUCUGAAUACUGUUUCUGUCACUGAUUAGAUUAAAAAUGUGCACGUGACACAAGUGGCCCUGAGAUAGGAGAGGUAGAGCUUCAUCUCUCACCAAGAUAAAUGAAGAAGGCAGGUGCUAUUUCUUCCCUUCUUUUAUCUGUGAGACAUCACUGCACAGAGAUAUGAUGCCUGAAGAUGUGGCAGCCAACUUAAAACAGUGAAGCACCUGCCCAAGGACAAGCCAGCAUCUGAGGAAGGCUGGGCAAGAAGACACUAGGGAUCUCUGCAUCCUAGCUGAGGUGAAUACACCUGUAAGUUAUCCAGGCCUCCAGACACUGUAUAAUGUUACUUAGUAUCUUAGUGUAUAAUAAUUCAAACACAUUCAACAUUAAUGUCAGACAUAGUUUUUCUUUCUUAUAGCCUCCUAAGUAUGGUGCAUGUAUCCCAGUGGCAGUAUGGAACCUCGAAAAUCCAGACUUUCACCGAAAAUAAUCAUCAACUCUAUUUUGCUAUCAAAAUGCUGGCUUUGGGAACUAAUUUUAAAGGAAAAUUACUGGACUAUUUUCCUUAUGGAGAGAGAUUUUUGUUGUUGUUGUUGUUGUUUUACAGUAUUUUCUCUUGGACUAAACAGGAAAAAGUCAUCCUCAAAUUUUAUCUUUGGAUCAAUCUAUAUAGCAUUAGAGGGCUUUGUACUUAUUGUUCCAUUACAACUCCACAAAAUGUUUGUGAAUAGAACAGGUUCCCUCUGCUAACUGUAAUAUACCUUGCAGAAUUAAUGCUUGCAUAACUAAAUGAUUAAUUUUCUAAUUCUUAAAUUUUUUUAGCUCUCAGAUUCAUGAUUUCAAAGUUUCUAGGUAUUCACGAAACUCUGUAUUGGAAAACUUUGUCUUUAUUUCUGCUCUUGUAAAAAUUUAGUGAACAUACUAAAAAUGACAAUGUCAAUGACAACAAAAUAUUAGAAGCUGUUGAGAAACAUUAUUUAACAUAGUCUCCGCAUGUGCAGGUAAGAGAGAACUGAUCUUUCUGGAGCAUAUUCCCCCCAAAAUUUCCUUAACCCUCUCACUCCCCUACUUUCUUUUCUAGCAUCUCCAUCUCAUACUUGUUUUGGAUUAGAUUGAGCUAAAACAGUUUACUGGGUCAGUUAGAUUUUAGAAAGGGACACUUACUUGGAGAUAAUCAUGACAUGCUUUUCUCUUCUCACAUUGCUUCUUUUAAAGAACUGACAGAUCCUAUGUCCAUAUUUGCAUAUGAAUGAAUACUUUAAUUGUAAGCCACAUCCUUGCCAGAUUUUAUAAGAAUAUUGGUAAUUUAAAAACCCACACAUUUAUGAAGAUAUUUUUCUUUAAAAAUAGGACAGAGUAAGAAAAUUUGAUCAGCUACUUCCAAGUAUAGGGAAGCAUAUCGGGUGAAAAUUCAAUUACAUUGUCUAAAACAAUUAAGAAGAGAUCUCCUGUCCCUUCCUGGCCCUUUUUUCAGUUAGAAGUUGAGGGUUCUAAGAAGUGUGCAUUUGUGUUUCAGUAAUCUACAGGGGACUCAUAGGACUAAACUCUACCCAAUACAUUUUCUGUAUUUUUGAUGCUCUGUCAUCAAGGGCCUUAAUAAUGAGAACGGACUGAUCUCAGGGUUAGCUUACUCCUAAAUAUAGACAGAACAUAUUUUCAUAUGAAGACCAACUCAGAGCACAUAUUCCUACCUACCUUUCUUCUGUAGGAGUCUUGCACUUUGAGCCAAUAUUCUCCUGUCCCAGUCACCCCAGGGUCAGGUAGGUACUGGAUAAUUUAACUCACUAGUCACAAGAAAAACAUGUUCUGAGAAUUAAAAAGGCAGGGAUGUUAAGCAGAACUAAAAGGUGUGGAGGGGCUAUACUAAGUAGAAUAUAUAAAAAGGUGGAGGAGUAGUAAAAAGAUUUAAACACUUGCCUCAUCAUAGACAUCUAUUAGAAACAGACUACUGACUGGGGAUUGUGGCACACACCUGUAAUCCCAGCACUUGGGAGGCCAGCCUCAAUAUAUAGUCAGACACUGUCUCAAUAAAAUGAAAUGAAAUAAAAUAAAACCAGACUACUGAGCUCUACACCACAUUUUCUCAACUGGGACUUCUGGUUGGCUGGCUAGAAAUCUGUUUUUCACAAAGCUAGCCUUUUGACAUGAAUCCUUUGGCUUAGAGACUAGGGUUUGAAGUUAGAAAGCUGACUUGAGCAGAAAAUCUGAGGGUCACUUGCCUAUUUUUAUGAAAUGAAGAUAAUCCAUCUUCUUCACUGGCUAACCACAAGGAUGAACUAAGGAAGUAUUUGUAAAGUGAUGCCUAUUGUAGCUAUCAUAAGAAAAGAAUAA